rnacentral:rRNA from 1 species
UAAGGAAUAUUGGUCAAUGGGCGAGAGCCUGAACCAGCCAUACCGCGUGCAGGAAGACGGCCUUAUGGGUUGUAAACUGCUUUUAUCGGGGAAUAAACCUUUCUACGUGUAGGAAGCUGAAGGUACCCGAAGAAUAAGCAUCGGCUAACUCCGUGCCAGCAGCCGCGGUAAUACGGAGGAUGCAAGCGUUAUCCGGAUUCAUUGGGUUUAAAGGGUGCGCAGGCGGAUUGGUAAGUCAGUGGUGAAAUUCUAGUGCUUAACAUUAGACCUGCCAUUGAUACUGUCAGUCUAGAGUAUAGUUGGAGUGGGCGGAAUGUGUCAUGUAGCGGUGAAAUGCUUGGAUAUGACACAGAACACCGAUCGCGAAGGCAGCUCACUAAACUAAAACUGACGCUCAUGCACGAAAGCGUGGGGAUCAAACAGG